rnacentral:rRNA from 1 species
AAAAAAUUUGGCGGUAUUUUAGUCUAUUCAGAGGAACCUGUUCUAUAAUCGAUAAUCCACGAUGGACCUUACUUAAAUUUGUAAUCAGUUUAUAUACCGUCGUUAUUAGAAUAUUUUAUAAGAAUGAUAAUUUUCUAAAUUUUUUAUAAGAAAGUAUAUCAGAUCAAGGUGUAGCUAAUAUUUAAGAAGAAAUGGGUUACAAUAAAAUUAUUUAAAUGGAUAUAAAUUUGAAAUGUUUAUUGAAGGUGGAUUUGAUAGUAAAAUUAUAUAGAUAAAUAAUUUGAUUUUAGCUCUAAAAUAUGCACACAUCGCCCGUCACUCUUAUUAUAAGAUAAGAUAAGUCGUAACAUAGUAGAUGUACUGGAAAGUGUCUCUAGAAUGCAAUUUAAAGCUUAUAUAGUAAAGUAUUUCAUUUACAUUGAAGAGAUUUUUGUGCAAAUCAAUAUAAAUUGAUUAAAUUUUAUUUAUUAAUUUAAAUUUUUUAUUGAUUUAAUUUAUUAAAAAUAAUUAUAAAUUUAAUUGUUUUAGUAUUUUUUAAGGAAAAAAUAAAAUUAAUUAUAGUUUAAUAGUAUGGUGAAAGAAAAUUGAAAUAAA